GUAGGUGGCAAGCGUUGUCCGGAAUUAUUGGGCGUAAAGCGCGCGCAGGCGGUUCUUUAAGUCUGAUGUGAAAGCCCACGGCUCAACCGUGGAGGGUCAUUGGAAACUGGAGAACUUGAGUACAGAAGAGGAAAGCGGAAUUCCACGUGUAGCGGUGAAAUGCGUAGAGAUGUGGAGGAACACCAGUGGCGAAGGCGGCUUUCUGGUCUGUAACUGACGCUGAGGCGCGAAAGCGUGGGGAGCAAACAGGGAUUAGAUGCCCUGGUAGUCCACGCCGUAAACGAUGAGUGCUAAGUGUUAGGGGGGUUUCCGCCCCCCUUAGUGCUGCAGCUAACGCAUUAAGCACUCCGCCCUGGGAGUACGGCCGCAAGGCUG
rnacentral:rRNA from 1 species